rnacentral:rRNA from 1 species
GCAAGUCGAGCGGUAACAGAUCUAGCUUGCUAGAAGAUGGCGACCGGCGCACGGGUGAGUAACGCGUAUGCAACCUACCUUAUACUGGGGGAUAGCCCAGAGAAAUCUGGAUUAAUACCCCAUGGUAAAUCGGAACUGCAUGGUUUUGAUUUUAAAGUUUUUCGCUACAGGAUGGGCAUGCGUGACAUUAGCUAGUUGGUAAGGUAACGGCUUACCAUGGCAACGAUGGGUAGGGGGCCUGAGAGGGUGAUC